rnacentral:rRNA from 1 species
CGUCUAUAUACGUAUAGCAUAUCAAUAAGCGGAGGAAAAGAAACUAACAAGGAUUCCCUUAGUAACGGCGAGUGAAGCGGGAAGAGCUCAAAUUUGAAAUCUUCAAGGUUUUACCUUGACGAAUUGUAGUUUAAAGAAGUGUUUUCUGUUAGUGGAGUGGCAAAAGUUCUUUGGAAUAGGACAUCAUAGAGGGUGAGAAUCCCGUAUUUGGUCAUUCCUCCUAGCGUUGUGAUACACUUUCAACGAGUCGGAUUGUUUGGGAAUGCAGUCCAGAAUGGGUGGUAAAUUUCAUCUAAAGCUAAAUAUUGGCGAGAGACCGAUAGCGAACAAGUACCGUGAGGGAAAGAUGAAAAGAACUUUGAAAAGAGAGUUAAACAGUACGUGAAAUUGUCAAAAGGGAAGCGUUUGACACCAGUGUUGUUUUCCCGAAAAUCAAUUAAGAAUGGCUUGAUUUUGUGUUGUAUUGACCUUAACAGCUUUCUUCACUCUUUUCCUGUCUUUUUUAAUGCACUUUUCGUUUAACAAGUCAACAUCAAUUUCUUUUGUUGUAAAAGAGUCAUUCGGAAGGUGGCUUUCUUUUCGGAGAAAGUGUUUAUAGCCUUGUGCCUCUGCAAUCGGAGAGAUUGAGGUCUGCAGCGUAGAUCCUUCGGGGUUAGAUACAUUUGUGCUAAGUUAUAGCCUUUUCAUAGACAACUUGUUGACUAUGAUUCAGUCAUUGUAGCUUACUCGCUUACUGCUAUUUUACCUACGCUUAGGAUGUUGACUGAUAUGUAGUCGU